UUCAAAGUGAGUUUCGUUUAAACACUGUCCUAAAGAGCGAUUGAAAUACAACAGCAUCAAAAAUUACCUGUCUUUUCCUUUGAAUUAUCAAACCUUUCCAGAAAAUAAUUAUAGCAGAUGCCAAAAAUAUUGAGGAAGCCACAAGAACAUGCAGUAAUGAAAACUGACGCAAGUAAAGUCAGCCAAGAAAGGAUGCCAUCACGGUGAUCUAUUCUCUUCAUCAAGAGAGCCAUUCCGUCUCUUUCUUAACGACAUGCAACUUUAUUGAUUCAACGUCGAAAUGAAAACACAGGAACUUCCAUUGCUAAAACUAGCCCUAGACAGCCGCAACCGAUUAAGUAUACAGCCGAUAUUGUCAACCUCAUUUUAGUGUCGACAGGUCUUAUGCAAUGGUAUAUAAGCGACGAAGUCGCUAGGUGUCUAUUGUUCUCAAGUGAGGCAAAAUCACUCAUGCGGUAAAAGGGCAAAAAGACGAUUCCGCAUAAGGGCUCAGUACGGGACAUUGCAAGUUUGACGAAGAAAAAACCAAGAUUAUCGAAAAUCAGCAUAAUUUUGAAAGGGACUUCGACUUUUUUCAUAUACCUAAGUGGCGUCAGAAGCAGACAUGUUAAUAUAGGAGGUAUCCCUGACAGCAUGAAGAACGCUCUGUAGUCUUGAGUCUUGUCAACUAUAAAGCCU